rnacentral:rRNA from 1 species
CGACCGCGACCCCAGGUCAGACGGGACUACCCGCUGAGUUUAAGCAUAUCAAUAAGCGGUGGAGAAGAAAC